rnacentral:tRNA from 2 species
GUCUGCGCUUAGAUGAGGCUGGUUGCCUGCUCCAGCCAGGCGAGAUCCUCGCCUUCCAGCAGCGGGCUCAGGCG